UGGGGAAUAUUGCGCAAUGGGCGAAAGCCUGACGCAGCGACGCCGCGUGAGGGAUGAAGGUCUUCGGAUCGUAAACCUCUGUCAGCAGGGAAGAACGGUCACUGUGCUAAUCAGCAGUGAAUUGACGGUACCUGCAAAGGAAGCACCGGCUAACUCCGUGCCAGCAGCCGCGGUAAUACGGAGGGUGCGAGCGUUAAUCGGAAUUACUGGGCGUAAAGCGCUCGUAGGCGGUAUGUCAAGUCAAGGGUGAAAUCCCCGCGCUCAACGUGGGAACUGCCUUUGAAACUGGCAAACUGGAGUGUGUGAGAGGAUAGUGGAAUUCCAGGUGUAGGAGUGAAAUCCGUAGAUAUCUGGAGGAACAUCAGUGGCGAAGGCGACUAUCUGGCACAUAACUGACGCUGAGGAGCGAAAGCGUGGGUAGCAAACA
rnacentral:rRNA from 1 species